AUGGCCAUUUCAUUGAACAGUGCUUUCUUUUUGUAUAUGUGAGCAGUGUUAUUUCUUAUGUGUUACACAGAUAGUGAAUGGCUAAUUAGCAGACUAGCUGUACCCAUCUUCAGACAACA
ensembl:snoRNA small nucleolar RNA, H/ACA box 19